rnacentral:rRNA from 1 species
UACGUAGGGUGCAAGCGUUAAUCGGAAUUACUGGGCGUAAAGCGUGCGCAGGCGGUUAUGUAAGACAGGUGUGAAAUCCCCGGGCUUAACCUGGGAACUGCAUUUGUGACUGCAUAGCUAGAGUACGGUAGAGGGGGAUGGAAUUCCGCGUGUAGCAGUGAAAUGCGUAGAUAUGCGGAGGAACACCGAUGGCGAAGGCAAUCCCCUGGACCUGUACUGACGCUCAUGCA